GGAGUCGUCGUUGAAAUACCAGUCUGGUCGUGCUGGAUGUCUAACCCGGGUCCGUGAUCCGGAUCGGGGACAGUGUCUGAUGGGUAGUUUAACUGGGGCGGUUGCCUCCCAAAGGGUAACGGAGGCGCCCAAAGGUUCCCUCAGCCUGGUUGGCAAUCAGGUGGUGAGUGUAAGUGCACAAGGGAGCUUGACUGUGAGACCGACGGGUCGAGCAGGGACGAAAGUCGGGACUAGUGAUCCGGCGGUGGCUUGUGGAAGCGCCGUCGCUCAACGGAUAAAAGGUACCCCGGGGAUAACAGGCUGAUCUUCCCCAAGAGUCCAUAUCGACGGGAUGGUUUGGCACCUCGAUGUCGGCUCGUCGCAUCCUGGGGCUGGAGUCGGUCCCAAGGGUUGGGCUGUUCGCCCAUUAAAGCGGUACGCGAGCUGGGUUUAGAACGUCGUGAGACAGUUCGGUCCCUAUCCGCUGUGCGCGUAGGAGUCUUGAGAAGGGCUGUCCCUAGUACGAGAGGACCGGGACGGACGAACCUCUGGUGUGCCAGUUGUUCUGCCAAGGGCAUGGCUGGUUGGCUACGUUCGGGAGGGAUAACCGCUGAAAGCAUCUAAGCGGGAAGCCUGCUUCGAGAUGAGGACUCCCACCCACUUGAUGGGGUAAGGCUCCCAGUAGACGACUGGGUUGAUAGGCCGGAUCUGGAAGCACGGUAACGUGUGGAGGUGACCGGUACUAAUAGGCCGAGGGCUUGUCCUCAGUUG
rnacentral:rRNA from 1 species